rnacentral:rRNA from 1 species
UACGUAGGGUGCAAGCGUUAAUCGGAAUUACUGGGCGUAAAGCGUGCGCAGGCGGUGAUGUAAGACAGGUGUGAAAUCCCCGGGCUUAACCUGGGAACUGCAUUUGUGACUGCAUCGCUGGAGUGCGGCAGAGGGGGAUGGAAUUCCGGGUGUAGCGGUGAAAUGCGUAGAUAUCCGGAGGAACACAGGUGGCGAAGGCGGCUUCCUGGACCGACACUGACGCUGAGGCGCGAAAGCUAGGGGAGCAAACGGG